UCCAUUGGUGAGUCACGAUGCAUUUCAUUGUGGCAAUUCCUGUAUUGCAGAAGAUACCAGGAGGCACCAUGUCCUAGUAUGUUAGUUGGUCUCUGGUCUGACAUAAUCAGACAUGACCCUUGGGUGAAAUGUCAGAAACAGACCACAUGACCUUCUUCACAGAGCAGCAGCUGAGACACUAACAUGUCUGUGCAAGCCCCAAUCGAUCCAGUCCUUGACCCACCUCUUGCACGAGUCAGGGUGUCUGACUCCGCUCUUCCUCAUGACUCUGUCCCUCCCCAGUCCAGCUGCUGGCCAGUGCAGAUCAGUUCAUGUCUUUUCAUUGCAGCUAGCAACCUCCAUUCCAUUCCUAGCCUUUCACGUAGGGUACCAGUAUUCCCCCAGGCUAUCUUACUGGAAUGCGUGCUCAUGUUUCUAAAACUUGUCUUCCAUCCAUGAGCUCAUACAUUUUAAUACUAGAGCCUUCAAUCUCCCUGUCACAAAUUACAGCCCUUAACAGCCGUUUUCAUCUGAUCUAGUAGGGUAAUAAUUGUGUCCAAGCAACAGCUACUUUUCCAGCUUUCCUGCCAGUUAUGCAUUUUAAAAUUAUAUGUUGUUAAACUAAUUUUGUUUUUCUUUUUUAUUAUACACAGUAUGUAUGCUAGGUAUUACUCCAUUACAGCAGGAGCCUCAGUUUUAUUCCUGUAGUCCUUUUUGAAUGGAUACUGGAAUACAAUCAUAGCAGGAACAACUUCACUGGGGCUACAUGAAGAGCAUUCCCUUCUUACCUGUCACACUCGCCUCUUCACCUGUGCAAAUGGGACAAGUAACUAAGCUGAUACUGAAUGUCUGAAAACCAGUUGCCAGAAGAGUGAGACAGAACUAGUGGCGAUCAAAAUCCAGAUGCAUCAUCAUCAUGCUCCACAGUCUACAGUCCCUCAGCCUCAUGUUCUUCAUCUUCACCAUUAAGCAGCAGUUCCAGAUUUGUUUCAGACUGGGCUGACAGUUUUGAGAUUCCUUGGAACAAAUUUCCUGAACUGAUUAACUGUUUUGAAAGGAAGAAAAGACCAAGUCCACGUUUACGACGUGAAAUGGUCAGAAUUAUCGUUUCUGAAAUGAUUAAGAUCUGUGAUUCCCCUAGUAAGCAAAGUACCAUUGUUAUUGCCAAAAAGAUUGUGACCAAGUACCCAGCAUCCUUGCAGGAUGUCAUUGAAGGAGAUGUAGUUGGACCAGGAUAUCAUUCACUGGUUAAAAAGCUCCAGAAUCGUGUCGACAACGUGAGAAGACCUGACAUACAAAAAAUCAGAAAACGCAAGCAUGAUUCAGAUAGUGAUACUGAGGAGGUCCCUGCUGAACAAAAGGCAGUGGUUCAAGACACAUAUGGCUGUGUUAAUUGGGAAUUAAAAUGUAUGCCACUUUCUGAAACAGCAGAAAGCCAGAAUGAUAAACAGGAGAAAAUGAAGAUGCUGUCUAAGGAGACAAAUGUUAACAAUAAAGAAAUUGGAACCCUUGUGCAAUCAACAUAUUACUCCCAGCGUAAAGACAUAAAUAAGGGAGUCCGCAUGAACCAGCUUUUUGAGGACUGGCCUUUUGUAUUCCAAGAAAUUGCCAUGGGUGUACACUUCAAACAGCUACUGGGAUUGAUCUGAAAGAGAUGUUCCUUGCAAGCUUGUACAAAAAUGGAGUGCGGCUCCUGAAGUUCCUAAAAACCACCAGCACAAGAGAGGAAAAAGCAAGUCAUGCUGCUAAAUUGGAGGUGUCCAGAGGUCAUGUGGAGGGCUGUUCUGAAGAUGUCAAGGACAUGGUGAUUCUUCUUCUUGCAUACUUUGAAGAAAGGCAAGAGGUAAUGUUUCAUUAUGUAGAAGAGUCCUUCCUUGCUGAAGAUGUGGUUGAUAAGUUGCCAGUCACCCCCCACAUUAUUGUUUCUGAUGCUUGUUCAACAUAAAUCCAGACAAGGGCACCAAGGUCGAGUCAAGGAAAAACAAGAAACCGUUCCCAAAGUGCUCACUCUAAUAGCUGACCUUGCUGACCACGACUGGAGAACCACUUCAUAGAAGUGUCCUGCAUACGAGAGGAUUACUGAGCAUUGCAAUGAGAAGACAAGGAAA